UACGGGGGGGGCAAGCGUUGUUCGGAGUUACUGGGCGUAAAGGGCGCGUAGGCGGUUUGAUAAGUGAGAUGUGAAAUCCCUGGGCUUAACCUAGGAACUGCAUCUUAGGCUGUUGAACUGGAGUACUGUAGAGGGUAGUGGAAUUUCCGGUGUAGCGGUGAAAUGCGUAGAGAUCGGAAGGAACACCAGUGGCGAAGGCGGCUACCUGGACAGAUACUGACGCUGAGGCGCGAGAGCGUGGGGAGCAAACAGG
rnacentral:rRNA from 1 species